GACGAACGCUGGCGGCGUGCUUAACACAUGCAAGUCGAACGGAAAGGCCCUGCUUUUGUGGGGUGCUCGAGUGGCGAACGGGUGAGUAACACGUGAGUAACCUGCCCUUGACUUUGGGAUAACUUCAGGAAACUGGGGCUAAUACCGGAUAGGAGCUCCUGCUGCAUGGUGGGGGUUGGAAAGUUUCGGCGGUUGGGGAUGGACUCGCGGCUUAUCAGCUUGUUGGUGGGGUAGUGGCUUACCAAGGCUUUGACGGGUAGCCGGCCUGAGAGGGUGACCGGCCACAUUGGUACUGAGAUAGGGCCCAGACGCCUACGGGAGGCAGCAGUGGGGAGUAUGGCACAAUGGGCGGAAGCCUGAUGCAGCAACGCCGCGUGCGGGAUGACGGCCUUCGGGUUGUAAACCGCUUUCGCCUGUGACGAAGCGUGAGUGACGGUAAUGGGUAAAGAAGCACCGGCUAACUACGUG
rnacentral:rRNA from 1 species